UUUCAAUUUCAUCUAAUUAGCCGCUAAAAACCUCCGCCCUUCGUCUCUCUCUGCGCUAAAACUUCCACCGCCCCUCUCCGCUUCACCGCCGCUCUCUCUCCGAUUCGCCGCCACCUCUCAUCGGCUGCACACCUGCAGGAGCAUGAAGAACGACUUCGACUUCAAUUUCUCUGAGCUGAAUUUUCCGCUCCACGCCGAUACUCACGUCGACGCGCCUGGCCAUUUCUACGAGAACUACUUCGAACAAGGCUUUGAUGCCGAUACCCUUGACCUCAUAGUACUCAAUGGUCCUGAAUUGCUCGUAGAUGUUCUCAGAGACGAGAAUAUUACUGGUAUGUGUGCUUGGAAUGGAUGAUCAGUUUGAGUAGAUGUCCUUGUUUUCUGAUUCUUUAAUCUCGUUUUUCCUCUCGUUGGUUUUCUCUGUUCCUGCUGAAGUUAUGACGUCCUUGAACAUUCCCAAAGGUGUGAGAAGAGUAUUUUUCUGAACACUAAAUACUGAGGCCACGUUUGGUUGGCGGGAAAGUAAAGUUGGCAAGGAAAAUGAUUCCUGCGAAAAUGAA